rnacentral:rRNA from 1 species
CCUANGGGUGGCAGCAGUUAAGAAUCUUGCACAAUGGGCGAAAGCCUGAUGCAGCGACACCGCGUGAGCGAUGAAGGCCUUCGGGUUGUAAAGCUCUUUUCUGGGAGAAGAAACAGGUGGUUAAUAGCCAUCAACUGACGGUACCCCAGGAAUAAGCCUCGGCUAAUUACGUGCCAGCAGCCGCGGUAAUACGUAAGAGGCGAGCGUUGUCCGGAAUCACUGGGCGUAAAGCGCGUGUAGGUGGCUUGGUAAGUCGGAUGUGAAAUCCCCGGGCUCAACCCGGGAACUGCGUCCGAAACUGCCUCGCUCGAGAGCAGAAGAGGAAAGUGGAAUUCCGGGUGUAGCGGUGAAAUGCGUAGAUAUCCGGAGGAACACCAGUGGCGAAGGCGGCUUUCUGGUCUGUUUCUGACACUGAGACGCGAAAGCGUGGGGAGCGAACGGGAUUAGAUACCCUUNUANUC